AUUGAAAAUGCCUAGAUGAGAUCACCAACUCCAUAAACA
rnacentral:tRNA from 1 species